CGUAGGUGACAAGCGCUGUCCGGAUUUAUUGGGCGUAAAGCGAGCGCAGGCGGGUCCGGUAAGUCUGAUGUGAAAGCCCACGGCUCAACCGUGGAACGGCAUUGGAAACUGGCGGACUUGAAUGUAGCAGAGGAAAGUGGAAUUCCAUGUGUAGCGGUGGAAUGCGUAGAUAUAUGGAGGAACACCAGUGGCGAAAGCGACUUUCUGGGCUAUGAUUGACGCUGAGGCUCGAAAGCGUGGGGAGCGAACAGGAUUAGAUACCCUGGUAGUCCACGCCGUAAACGAUGAGUGCUAAGUGUUGGAGGGUUUCCGCCCUUCAGUGCUGGAGUUAACGCAUUAAGCACUCCGCCUGGGGAUUACGACCGCAAGGUUGAAACUCAAAAGAAUUGACGGGGACCCGCACAAGCGGUGGAGCAUGUGGUUUAAUUCGAAGCAACGCGAAGAACCUUACCAGCUCCUGACAUCUUCUGCCACCUUCAGAGAUGAAGGGUUCCCUUCGGGGACAGAAUGACAGGUGGUGCAUGGUUGUCGUCAGCUCGUGUCGUGAGAUGUUGGGUUAAGUCCCGUAACGGGCGCAAMCCUUAUUGUUAGUUGCCAGCAUUGAGUUGGGCACUCUAGCAAGACUGCCGGUGAUAAACCGGAGGAAGGCGGGGAUGACGUCAAAUCAUCAUGCCCCUUAUGAGCUGGGCUACACACGUGCUACAAUGGAUGGUACAACGAGUGGCGAGACCGUGAGGUUUAGCUAAUCUCCCAAAGCCAUUCUCAGUUCGGAUUGCAGGCUGCAACUCGCCUGCAUGAAGUCGGAAUCGCUAGUAAUCGCGGAUCAGAAUGCCGCGGUGAAUUCGUUCCCGG
rnacentral:rRNA from 1 species